GCGACGCCAAGGCCAUGGCUGCAACUCCGGCCGAUGUGAAGGAGUACCCGAAUUCCUAUGUGUUUGUGAUCGACAUGCCGGGGCUCAAGUCAGGGGACAUCAAGGUGCAGGUGGAGGAUGACAAUGUGCUUGUGAUCAGCGGAGAGAGGAAGAGGGAGGACGAGAAAGAGGGGGCUAAGUAUGUGAGGAUGGAGAGGAGGGUUGGUAAGUUUAUGAGGAAGUUUUCGCUGCCUGAGAAUGCUAAUGUUGAAGCCAUUUCUGCUGUUUGCCAAGAUGGUGUUCUGACUGUCAAUGUGGAGAAGCUGCCGCCGCCUCAGCCAAAGAAGCCCAAGACUAUCGAGGUGAAGAUUGCUUAAGAGUUUAUGUGUGAUGUGGGUUGUUUUCUGAAUAAUUAGGGUGAUGGGUAUGAGUGAAAUGUAGGGGGAUUACCAGUGUGCUUUCCAUAUGAUGUUU
rnacentral:lncRNA from 1 species